CCUACGGGUGGCAGCAGUCGAGAAUCAUUCACAAUGGGGGAAACCCUGAUGGUGCGACGCCGCGUGGGGGAAUGAAGGUCUUCGGAUUGUAAACCCCUUUCAUGUGGGAGCAAAUUAAAAAGAUAGUACCACAAGAGGAAGAGACGGCUAACUCUGUGCCAGCAGCCGCGGUAAUACAGAGGUCUCAAGCGUUGUUCGGAAUCACUGGGCGUAAAGCGUGCGGAGGCUGUUUCGUAAGUCGGGUGUGAAAGGCGCGGGCUCAACCCGCGGACGGCACAUGAUACUGCGAGACUAGAGUAGUGGAGGGGGAAGCGGAAUUCUCGGUGUAGCAGUGAAAUGCGUAGAUAUCGAGAGGAACACUGGUGGCGAAGGCGGGUUCCUGGACAUUAACUGACGCUGAGGCACGAAGGCCAGGGGAGCGAAAGGGAUUAGAUACCCUUGUAGUC
rnacentral:rRNA from 1 species